GUGAGCUCACACUCACAACAGAGCAGCCGCAGGACACUAAAGCCCCCCCCCCCUUGCAUUUUCUGGUGAUUCCUGCACACAUUUAGACUCACUUUUUGAGUGUCCCACUCAGGACCAAGACGUCCCAUCUGCAGGCAGGCGUUCGGAGGACAGGAACACGCACCCUCGACACCACACAGCAGCACCACAGACAUGUCGGACUCAGAGACCGCCGCCGCCCCCGCCGAGGCCCCCGUCCCUGCUGCUUGUGCCAGCAUCAAGGCUGACCUGGACAAAUGUGUGGCAGAGAAGGGAGGCGAGGGCUGCAAAGAUCUGAUGGAGGCCUUUGCUGCUUGUGUGAAGAGUGCAGCCGAGGGCACAUCAUGAGGAGUCGCCCUCCAACCUGAAAUCUCCACUGCACUGAGUCCUCCAAGUUCCCAGCAUUCCCUUCUGCACAACAGCACUGGACUGAAUGAUGACAACAACGAUGAUGACGACGAUGACGAUGGCGUGGCGAACAUUGUGUUGACCUGGGCUGAAUUAUGGAUCUGGCGGCAGUAACCACAGUUUCCUCCCCCUGUGCCCCCCCUGUUUUAGGCUUAUCCGGUGUCCCUCAGUCUUUCCACCAUUCCCCCUCUCCCUCUACGGCUGACACACAGCACCUCCACUCGUAGACUAUUCCAGUGAGUUGACGGGCUGUGAUGUAAAUUGUCGACUUGAGAUGAAUACUUAUAAAUGGAAAUAAAAGUAUC